rnacentral:lncRNA from 1 species
AGAGCCAUUCUUUUUGGCUUUUUACGGGUGGUGUGGGCAGCAUUCUUUAGAGAACCAAAAAAUCAAUUUUAAAGAUAGAAAGAUUGAAGCUCAUCCAGAGAAAAGAGAGAAGAGAAAAAUCAGUUUUUCAAGUUUGGUGCAGCAGUGAUCAACUCUUCGAUCGAAGGUCCAUCCGUGGUUCGAUUGAGCUGAUUUUUGGACAGCAGCUAGGCAAUAAGGUGUUCUUGACUUUGUACGGUCGGAUUUUUCAUCCGAGUCUUGUAGCGUCGGAAAUACCCGUUUUUCAGCAGCUGCAUUUUUUGUGAUGUUCUCUCAUUUUUCUCUCUUUUGCUAAAGAUUACAUAUUAUUGGCCUUGUUGAAGUUGAAUGCUUGUUGUAGGCUUGAUAUUGUGAUCUUGUAGUUUAACAUUUUAUGAUAAUGGAGCUUUUGAUCGGACUCUAAAGUCCCGUGGUUUUUACCCUUGAUUUAAAGAGGUUUUCCACGUAAAAAUAUCGGUGUCUCUAUUUAUUUUUGUCGUGGUUGCAUUAGUUGAUUUGUGGUUGAUUAAGGUUGCUAAAGAACAUAUUUUGUGCUAUUGUGCUUGCCAUAAUUUUUGACAGGAGUUAUAGGGAGAGAAAGAACACCGGUUGUGCUUUGCUUUGUUUCGGUUGUUCGGUUUCUUCCCAACAGUUGCAACUUGAGGCAUAGCUGGCUACUUGAUGUGGCUACUAUUAUGAAGGUAAUUGAAGACCUUUUGAUGUGGCUACUUGUGAUGAGAAAGUGAUUGUUAUUUGACAAGCGAUGCGCAACUUAUUUUAGAUAAAAUAUACGAGAUUAAAGAGCACUUUAUUUGUUCAUAUAGGAACUGUUUAAUUGAAUGCAAAAUUGUAAGUAAAUAGAAUGUGAGCCACUUAGUUAUAUAAGAGCUUGUACUCAUUGAAGUAUAGUGGAUUAACUAUUUGGGCAAGGCCCCGAUGUAGGAAAUUUCCGAACUGUGUGAACAAAGUUUUUGGUGUCCAUAGAAGAACUGUUUAAUUGAAUGCAAAAUUGUAAGUAAACUGAACGUGAGACACUUAGUUACAUCUAAGCUUUCAUGGGAAAGUUUUAGAAGGAGGAUGAUUCGGUUUAAAAUAUAAGAGUGAAGUUACUAUUUGGUGAGUGUGCAAGACUUAUAUAUCAAAGCUUGUACUCAUUGAAGUAUAG